AGGCUUGUAGCCUAGCUUGGAUAAGGCGUUAGACUCCUAAUCUAAAGACCGCGGGUUCAAAUCCCGCCAAGCCUG
rfam:Methanobrevibacter ruminantium M1, complete genome.